rnacentral:lncRNA from 1 species
AUAGCAAAUGUAAUUUUAUUUCAUAUAUAUUUUAUUUUAAUUUGUCAAUUGCUUAUGAUUAAUUAAUUAAUAUCUAUAAGCAUAAGUUUAUAAUAUGUUAGUGUUGUAGUUCUUGAGAUAGAAGUUGAUCGUUGCUUUCCUUAUAUCUAGUUCCCUAAAAGUUUUCGCUUCGAUCUCUCAAAGUUUUCCCUCAGUCUUGGUUCCGAGUGACCUGAUAAGUGAAACAAAAGAUGCAGUGAUUCUCCUUUCAGCUUUUUCAUGAGUUGACUCUUUUAUGGGUUAAGGCAAUUAUGACCAUGUCUUACUCCCUUGGACUGAACACGUGAAAUAAAAAAUCCAAUUGUGCCCGUGUAUGGAACAUGGAUAAGACAGUCAUAUCACGCAAUUGGGGCUAAUAUCAAAUAAAGUGGUUUGGCUUUACGAUGCCAUGAUCAGACCUAUUAUCAUCAAUGGGUGUUUCGUUUGGGAACAUACAAAGAAAUGUGGAAUGAAGACAUUAAACACUAUUCAAAGAAAGGUACUUCUGGGUAUGACUCACACCCUAGGAUCAAUGCAAAUUGCCGCAAUAGAGGCUUCUUUUGUUGUCAACCUCAUUGAUCUCCACAUAGAAGCACAAGCAACAGAUUCAAGAUAGAGAACAAGGCAUUUCCUACGGGACACCUGGGAUGACAUUAGUAUCCUACCAAGGGGCCGUGGGCAUCGUUUCUCCUGUGAUAAAAUACUUCAUCGAACUAAAUUGAAACAAGCAAGUGACUUUUUUCUUAUUGGGAUCAACAACUUUCAAAUUGACAACUCUGACGGUUAUAAACACAGACGAAUCCAAAAGAUGAACAAGGUGGUACAGCUCCAGGAUGGGCUAUCACUCAAGGAAAUAUGUUCAUUCACCAAUCAUCGACCUCUUUGAACAACGUGUUAUCGGUAAUUCAAGCAGAAGUAUUCACCCUCUCACAAUCAGUGGCCAUCUUCUCAACCAAGAUAAACUUUUAAAAAAGGUUAUUACUCGAUCAGAUUCCCAAUCAGCACUUUCGUGAUAUUUUAAAUUCUGUACUACAAGUUAUUAAGUCAAAAAGUCCAAAAAAAUAUUGAAGAGUAGAGAAAAUGAAAAAUAUAUAUAUCUUGAAUGGUGCAAGGGGCAUAAUCAUGAGACAGGAAAUCAGAUUGCAGAUUACCUAUAAAAAAUAAGCACUAAGAAUAAAAAUCAAAAAGUUUGUUGGAGUGCAUAAAAGCCUAACUAAGUACAGACCAAAUUAUGUAACAAAUACACAUUAUCCGAGACAAAGCCAAAGAUUUUCAAACUUGGGCGUGACCAGAUAAAACUUUAACUACUUACGAAAGUCACGGGCUAUUUCUUGCUCACCUGAGUAAAUAGAAAAAUAUGAAGAAGUUCGUAUUCUAAAAUUCCUCAAAUGUUUAAACAUGAAAAACAUUCUUGAUAACAAUUUUAAUGUCUAACUAAAUAGGUAGGAUCUGCUGUAGUAGCCAAAUACCCUAAUGUUGAUUGUGUUCUUUAUCUUAAUGUUUUCUUUUUGUUAAUGUAUAAUAUCCUACGGUAAACAACAAUAAAUGUUAACUAGCUAACUA